UACGGAGGGUGCGAGCGUUGUCCGGAAUCACUGGGCGUAAAGGGCGCGUAGGCGGCCUGAUAAGUAGGGGGUGAAAUCCUGCGGCUUAACCGCAGGGCUGCCUUCUAAACUGUCAGGCUUGAGCACAGUAGAGGCAGGUGGAAUUCCCGGUGUAGCGGUGGAAUGCGUAGAGAUCGGGAAGAACAUCAGUGGCGAAGGCGGCCUUCUGGACAGCCACUGACGCUGAGACGCGAAAGCGUGGGGAGCAAACAGG
rnacentral:rRNA from 1 species